rnacentral:rRNA from 1 species
AUACGGAGGGUCCGAGCGUUAUCCGGAAUCAUUGGGUUUAAAGGGUCCGUAGGCGGGAAUCUAAGUCAGUGGUGAAAUCUUGCAGCUCAACUGUAAAAUUGCCAUUGAUACUGGAUUUCUUGAAUUAGUGUGAAGUGGUUAGAAUGUGUAGUGUAGCGGUGAAAUGCAUAGAUAUUACACAGAAUACCAAUUGCGAAGGCAGAUCACUAACACUAUAUUGACGCUAAGGGACGAAAGCGUGGGGAGCGAACAGGAUUAGAAACCCAAGUAGUCC